rnacentral:rRNA from 1 species
AUUCCAGCUCCAAUAGUGUAUAUUAAAGUUGUUGCAGUUAAAAAGCUCGUAGUUGGAUUUCUGGCGGGAGCGAUCGGUCCUUCACUCAGUGUUGGAACCUGAUUGUCUCCUGCCAUCCAUGGAGAAAACUUAUCUGGCAUUAAGUUGUCGGGUAGGCAAUCUCCAUCUUUUACUGUGAAAAAAUUAGAGUGUUCAAAGCAGGCUUAUGCCGUUGAAUAUAUUAGCAUGGAAUAAUAAGAUAGGACUAUGGUUCUAUUUUGUUGGUUGGAGGCCAAGGUAAUGAUUAAUAGGGAUAGUUGGGGGUAUUCAUAUUUAAUUGUCAGAGGUGAAAUUCUUGGAUUUAUGGAAGAUGAACUCAUGCGAAAGCAUUUACCAAGGAUGUUUUCAUCA